UCCUGGCUCAGGAUGAACGCUGGCGGCGUGCCUAAUACAUGCAAGUCGAGCGAACGGACGAGAAGCUUGCUUCUCUGAUGUUAGCGGCGGACGGGUGAGUAACACGUGGAUAACCUACCUAUAAGACUGGGAUAACUUCGGGAAACCGGAGCUAAUACCGGAUAAUAUUUUGAACCGCAUGGUUCAAAAGUGAAAGACGGUCUUGCUGUCACUUAUAGAUGGAUCCGCGCUGCAUUAGCUAGUUGGUAAGGUAACGGCUUACCAAGGCAACGAUGCAUAGCCGACCUGAGAGGGUGAUCGGCCACACUGGAACUGAGACACGGUCCAGACUCCUACGGGAGGCAGCAGUAGGGAAUCUUCCGCAAUGGGCGAAAGCCUGACGGAGCAACGCCGCGUGAGUGAUGAAGGUCUUCGGAUCGUAAAACUCUGUUAUUAGGGAAGAACAUAUGUGUAAGUAACUGUGCACAUCUUGACGGUACCUAAUCAGAAAGCCACGGCUAACUACGUGCCAGCAGCCGCGGUAAUACGUAGGUGGCAAGCGUUAUCCGGAAUUAUUGGGCGUAAAGCGCGCGUAGGCGGUUUUUUAAGUCUGAUGUGAAAGCCCACGGCUCAACCGUGGAGGGUCAUUGGAAACUGGAAAACUUGAGUGCAGAAGAGGAAAGUGGAAUUCCAUGUGUAGCGGUGAAAUGCGCAGAGAUAUGGAGGAACACCAGUGGCGAAGGCGACUUUCUGGUCUGUAACUGACGCUGAUGUGCGAAAGCGUGGGGAUCAAACAGGAUUAGAUACCCUGGUAGUCCACGCCGUAAACGAUGAGUGCUAAGUGUUAGGGGGUUUCCGCCCCUUAGUGCUGCAGCUAACGCAUUAAGCACUCCGCCUGGGGAGUACGACCGCAAGGUUGAAACUCAAAGGAAUUGACGGGGACCCGCACAAGCGGUGGAGCAUGUGGUUUAAUUCGAAGCAACGCGAAGAACCUUACCAAAUCUUGACAUCCUUUGACAACUCUA
rnacentral:rRNA from 1 species